AUUGAACGCUGGCGGCAUGCUUUACACAUGCAAGUCGAGCGGCAGCGCGGCCUUCGGGCUGGCGGCGAGCGGCGAACGGGUGAGUAAUGCAUCGGAACAUGCCCAGUCGUGGGGGAUAACACUUCGAAAGAAGUGCUAAUACCGCAUACGUCCUGAGGGGGAAAGCGGGGGAUCGCAAGACCUCGCGCGAGUGGAGUGGCCGAUGUCAGAUUAGCUAGUUGGUGGGGUAAAGGCCUACCAAGGCGACGAUCUGUAGCUGGUCUGAGAGGAUGAUCAGCCACACUGGGACUGAGACACGGCCCAGACUCCUACGGGAGGCAGCAGUGGGGAAUUUUGGACAAUGGGGGCAACCCUGAUCCAGCCAUUCCGCGUGAGUGAAGAAGGCCUUCGGGUUGUAAAGCUCUUUCGGCAGGAACGAAACGGUGGGCUCUAACAUAGUCCGCUAAUGACGGUACCUGAAGAAGAAGCACCGGCUAACUACGUG
rnacentral:rRNA from 1 species